CAGAAAAAGUGUACCUUUUAAGCGUUUACGUGUCCCGUUAAAAUAGGACUGUUUUAAAUAUAUACCAUGGCAAAAAAAUACAAAGUCCCAGUGAUAAUUUAAUAAAAUGCAUUGUUCUAAUGAAGAUAAAAUAUUUUUAAUUCAAAUGCACUUUGUAUUUAUUUUUUAAUAUAUUUUUUUCUGUGGCAUACGCGGUUGGUCCCAUACAAUUUUUCAUGUCCCAAUUCUAAAGGAUUUCUUAUCUCAGAUAUUUGUUACGAUAUAUAUUAGUCGUUUUAAAUAUUUAAUGUAUGAUACUCAUUCCUUUAUGGUUUAUCUUAAGUAUUUUGCACAUAUUAUAAUAGCUUUUUAUAUAAAAAGUCGUAAUUUUUUUUAUUCAUAUACCUGUCUCAACUUUUUGGAUGUGCGUUACUCAGGAUUAGUAACGGAGCAUUUAAUCCCAAGAAACGUUUUCCAUCUUAGUAGAAUAUUUUUUAUUCAUCUGGUAACACUUCGGUACUGUCAGAAAUUGUUGAACGCGGCGACAGCCAUUUUGUUUUUCAACGUAGUGGCACGUGGAUCGAUCUCCAGUGCAUGUGAUCUUAAAAAUCUCAUGGUGGAUAACGGCGAUUAUUUCAGAUAAUGGCUCCGAUGACAAAUGCCGAAAGGCAGAAGAAAUAUAGAGAACGUUUAAAACAGAAUCCUAUAAAAUAUGAAGAGUUACGAGUAAGACAUUUAGAAAGAGUAAAUCAAUCAAGAAAGCGUGGCAUAAAAAAACAAAGUCAACAACAAAAAGAAAUAACUAGAGAGAAAUGGAGACAAUAUUCAGCACGUUACUAUGCUAAAAAGAAAAAUAAAUCUAGUAAUGAGCAGACAUCGGAUCCAGAAACUACAGAAGAAAAAAAUAAAGAUAAACAGUGGCGAUCUAGAUUCUCAAGAAUACAAAAAAAACUAAAGGCAUGCAAAGAAAAAUUAAAAAUUGCAUUACAAAAACAAGAAAACAUGAGAAAACAAAUUUAUCGUCUCAAACAACAAAUACUUAAAUUCAAACAAAAUAGCAAAGACCAAAAAAAGGAGAGCGUUUUGUCAUCUACGCCAUCUGAAUUUGACAUUAUAACGCAAUCUUUGGGAUUGAUUUAUAAAGAAUCUACACACACAGGGAAACAGGUCCUAAAAAAAGUUAUGAAAAAUUCGAUAACAUCAAAACACAGAAUGACAACAAAAAUAACAAAGGCUGUUGGAAUCAAAGGCAAAAUUCGAUCGAGAUUGACUAGAUUAGCAAAAAGGAAGUUAUUUAUACUCGAAAUACAUAUUUGUUACUAGUACUGAUAACUUCUGAUUAUAUUUAAUUGAAAAUAUAUGAAAGCUUAGCUUACAUACAUAUUUGUUACUAGUAUUUAAUUGAUACUGUGCUGCGGUUAUGUAAAUCAAAUUUAAUUAAUAUAUAUUGUUGAUUUGAA